UACCAUAGACUGAUUCAAGUGACA
rnacentral:siRNA from 1 species